AUGUAUGACUUCUCCUUGGAAAAGAAAACUGUUAGAUACUAAAAAAAUCCAAGAAGCCCAGCGAGAAGUAGAGGAUAAGCCUGAGGAAGCAGAAGCUAAAGUGAAUUCUAUGAGUGGCCCAGAGGGUGAUAGCAAAAUGAGCUUCUCCAAGACUCAAAGUACAGCAACAGUGUCACUUCCUAUUAACCCUAGCCUAGCUAGCUUACAGUACAAUAGUAUUCUCACUCCAACUUGGGUCAGCAGUAGUGCCAUGAAACAGUUCUCAGCCUACCCCACACAAAAGCAGAUUUUAGUCCUGCUGACGUUGAGUAUAAAGAGGACCCAUUUGAUAAUCUGGAGUUAAGAACUAUUGAUGACAAAGAAGAGCUGAGAAACAUUCUGGUAGGAACCACUGGGGCCAUUUUGGCCCAGUUAUUGGACAGUAAUGUCUCAGAGGAGACUCUAGGUCUGUGUCACAGGAUGAGGAGGUCUAAGCAUCCUUGGAGCAUGCAACCUUAGAUUUCAAGCCUCUUCAUAAACCCAAUUGCUUUAUAAUCUUACCACAGUUGGGCAACUGUGAAAAAAUGUUGUCUUCCAAAGUGUCCCUCCCCCCAUCCCUGCAGUAAGCAAUAUCAAAUCUCUUCCUUUGCCAGACUUGACUGUGAUGACAGCAAUCAGAAGACAGUCAAGCUGGCAAGCAGUUUCCAUAGCACAUCCUGCCUCUUCAGUGGCACAUCCUAGAAUUUCUUACAGCCUUUCACCCAAAGCUGGGCCAGUGAGCUCAGUGAGGACUAUAUUCUUUGACUUUCAGCUUUGAACUUGGACAGUGGCACAGAAGUGGCAACCUUGCCACACUCCCAGAUAUCUUUGCUGUCUGUGUGCACAGAAGAAUUAUCACCUCCAAAUACAGGUCCAAAAGUCACUCCUCUGAAUUUCUCAAUGUUCCAGGUGCCCAACAUGCUUAGCUGUCCCCAGGUCUAUUCUGAAUUGUAGACACUGUCCCCCAGUGAGUAGCAGUGUGUAGAGACAGUGGUCAACAUGGGCUACUAAUAUAAGUGUGUCUAGAGAACCAUGAAGAAGAAAAGAGACAAUAUUGAGUAGAUUCUUGACCUAUCUCUUUGCAAACGGACAGCUUUGUGAGAAGGGCUUCGACCCUCUUUUAGUGGAAGAGGGUGUGGAUAUGCACCAGAGUUCAGAAGAAGAGAUGAUAGAGUUUCUUCAGUUAAUUAGCAAAUUUAGGGGAAUGGGCUUUGAACUGAAAGACAUUAAGGAAGUUUUACUAUUAUACAACAAUGACCAGAACAGUGCUUUGGAAGACAUCAUGGCCUGGGCUGUAGCCAGCUGAGACCAGGCCCUGCCACAGGACCACUAUCCCCCAGAAGCCCUGAGAGCUCACCUGUGGGGAAGGAGAAAGGGCACACUUCUAGAUUUUUCUUUUGGUGGUUAGAGGUCAGGUGUAGAAACUGUGCUUGCCAGUCUGUGUGAGUCUAGACCCUGAGCUGGGGAGAAAUGGGGGAAGAUUUGGAGAUGUGAAUGAAUGGCCAAACCUGUCCUGACUCCUUCCAUAUUGAAUAUAUUUCUAUUUUGAGACAUGUCCUUCCCAUCUUGACCAUCCAGAAAGAAUACUUGGGUCUUUCGGGGCCUCUCUGUCCCUAGCCAAAAACUGGCCUAGCUGCCAAGAGUAGUCAGGAGUAAAAUGGAGGGCCAGAAUCCGUGCUGCUUUGGGGCAAGAUGCUUCCCACUCUACCUGCACAGGUAGACUGAACUCCAGUCCAAAUUGAAUGCAAGUGAAAGGUUCUUCCAGGGUUCCUCACCUCCCCCUAACAGUCUGUUAGUGUUACACUGGUUCUGCAGUGUCUCUGAGGUGCAAAAGGAUGCCUUUUUCCCCGUGGGGCCGAGUUUGCCUCUUCUGCUAGGCAAUUCCCAUGCUUCCAUUUCUAGUCUGUUUCUUUCUGCUUGGUUUGGAGUACAGUUCUCUGCUGCCCAAGACUUUAGAGCCCUGCUCUAAGAAACUUGUCAGUUUGAAUAAUCGUGGGCCCUUUACCAGCACAUGGAUCAGGUGAGAAAACAGGCCAUAACUUAGU